GUCAAGUUGGCUUUCACAUCAUUUUUUUGUACAUCAGUGAAGGACCAGAAAUCCAGACAAAAUGCAGCUACAGACGCCGCAUAGUCUCUCCUAUAUGUCAGGAAGGUUUGAGUCUCUUCACUUUAAUGUCAUCCUCUUAAUUAAAUGAAUGUGACAUGUGAUGUUAGUCAGGUGAUGUUGUGUAGGUAAGGAUCACCAGUGGCUACCUGGUGGAGUGAGGCGAGGUGUGGCCAGAAAGGAAGUUGUGAUGAUGAAAUUAAAGCUAUAUUAUGCUACCUCCUGGAGGUUCCCUGUCAUGGACUGGUGAUAUAUUAUGUAGUGCAUAAAUAUUACAGUAGGACCCAUGCACAUCUACCAGGAGACUUAUUAGACCACACCUAGGAGGUCUGUGGGAUUCACUGGUCACCAAAUCAUCAGCAACUGUUGGCAAGAGGAAAGGAAAAUAUAUGUGUACUUCAGUACUAGUCCUCAAGAUACACCCACUCACUGGCAUCAGAGAAUAUUCUUCCUCAAUGAACCCACACAAGGUCAUGCAGGUUUUCCUGCCUGUACUUCUCACUCCAAUCAUCAUUGUGGGGCUUCUGUAUGUAGUCUGAACCUUGUGGUCUUUUGUGUAAGAAUAGAGGUAUGCAUUUCAAUUAGUAUUCUGGGGACGAGAAUGCCUUUCAUUAUUUGAUUCAGUGCCUUUCUGUCACUCUCCAGUAGGGGAAUGCUCUUUGAUGAUGUACAUGUUACCUUUUACAUUUUUUGACUUUUGUUGUUUAAAAAUUUAAAGUUAUGUUCUGCUGUAAAAUUUCAUUUACUGCCUUAAAAAUAUGUUUCUGUUUUCUUCUUUA